rnacentral:tRNA from 1 species
GUACUAGUAGCUCAGCUUCAGAGCAUCGGUCUUGUAAACCGGGUGUCGGGGGUUAAAUCCCCCCCUCGUACU